UGGCGACCGAUGCGUCCCGCGCUCUAGGCGAAGACCGCGGCCCCGUCCCCGCGCCUCCACCGCCUUCUUCCAGGAGGAGGGGCCGUGCGGCGCCUGCCCGGGGGCCCUCAGGCCGCAGGCGGGCGCGAGCUUCAGGGAACUUAGGGGGCUCCCGCCUCCCCGGCCACGCGAGCGGGAACAGUCUCCUCCACUCGGAGCGCCACUCAUCAUGCCUUACCUGGAUGAUGCAGAAGUCCCUGGAAACAGAAGGUCUCACCCUUCUUUAUCUUUCUCAUGGCUUUCCAAGGCUCUUUAUCAUGUUACUUUCCUGCUCAGAAUUCUUUAAUGACUUGCCUCAAUGACCAGAUACAUGUGAUCUACAGUCAGCCUUCCAGCCUCAUCAUUCCUCUUCCAUUUCCUCCCCAGAAACACUGUACUUUAUGAAGCUCCUCCAAGACGAAAAAUAAAUUCAAAUAUGGAAUAAAAAGCCCAAACUCAUGAAACUGGACUGACUUUGCUUCUUAAAAAUUCAACAUGCUGCAGCUGCAUGCUUAAACCUGGUUCAAACAGGAUGAUGAAAUAAAACAUUAUUAUUGUGGGAAUAUAACACUGUCUAAAUAAAUAGCCAACAUGAAAACUGUCUCUAAAACCCAUAGCAUCUGUAUGUGCAGACUGUAAGUAAGUUAUAUAAUUCCUCCACUAUUCUGUAACAUGGCCAAUUCAGAAUGUCUUACCAUUAAUCUUGAAGACAUUUAAAGAUGUUCACUUUUCUAACUCUUCCCUUUGAAAAUAUAUUUGAACCUUAUUUGCAAUAAAAAUCUCAUAAUAUUGUAUUACUUUUUGAUGUGUCAUUUCUGUUAAAUGGUGCCUGGAAUAAAUCAGCUUUGACUUUUCAGAUUACAUGUGUUGUUCCAGAGUUUUAGUAGUUACAACAUACAUUUACAUUUUCUAAUGUCCUCACUAUAAUGAAGAUAAACACAGGGGUAAUUUUU
rnacentral:lncRNA from 1 species